rnacentral:rRNA from 1 species
GAUCAUGGCUCAGAACGAACGCUGGCGGCGCGUCUUAAGCAUGCAAGUCGGACGGCAAGAUGCCUUCGGGCAUCCUAGAGUGGCGAACGGGUGAGUAACACGUAAGUGAUCUGCCCCGCAGUUGGGGAUAGCCUGUGGAAACACAGGGUAAUACCGGAUGAGAUGUCAAUGAUUGAACUAUGACAUGAAAGUGGCUACGGCCACGCUGUGGGAUGAGCUUGCGGCUCAUUAGCUAGUUGGGGGUGUAACGGACCACCAAGGCGACGAUGAGUAGCCGGCCUGAGAGGGUGAACGGCCACAUUGGGACUGAGACACGGCCCAGACUCCUACGGGAGGCAGCAGUGAGGGAUAUUGCACAAUGGGGGGAACCCUGAUGCAGCAACGCCGCGUGAAGGAAGACGGUUUUCGGAUUGUAAACUUCUGUUUUGGGUGACGAUAAUGACGGUAGCCCGAUAGAAAGCCACGGCUAACUACGUGCCAGCAGCAGC